rnacentral:hammerhead_ribozyme from 1 species
AUCCAGCUGAUGAGUCCCGAAUAGAACAAGACGCGCGUCCUGUAU